UCGACGAAGUAGCAAUACUUAGUGGCAGACGGGUGAGUAACAUGUAGGUAUCUGCCCUUUGGCCUGGAAUAACACGAGGAAACUUGUGCUAAUACCGGAUAAGUCUUUACGGAGAAAGCUUUAUGCACCAUUGGAUGAGCCUGCACUUGAUUAGUUUGUUGGUGGGGUAAUGGCCUACCAAGACUGUGAUCAAUAGCUGAUUUGAGAGGAUGAUCAGCCACAUUGGGACUGAGACACGGCCCAAACUCCUACGGGAGGCAGCAGUGGGGAAUCUUGCACAAUGGAGGAAACUCUGAUGCAGCGAUGCCGCGUGAGUGAAGAAGGCCCUUGGGUUGUAAAGCUCUUUCGUCGGGGAAGAAAAUGACUGUACCCGAAUAAGAAGGUCCGGCUAACUUCGUGCCAGCAGCCGCGGUAAUACGAAGGGACCUAGCGUAGUUCGGAAUUACUGGGCUUAAAGAGUUCGUAGGUGGUUGAAAAAGUUAGUGGUGAAAUCCCAGAGCUUAACUCUGGAACUGCCAUUAAAACUUUUCAGCUAGAGUAUGAUAGAGGAAAGCAGAAUUUCUAGUGUAGAGGUGAAAUUCGUAGAUAUUAGAAAGAAUACCAAUUGCGAAGGCAGCUCUCUGGAUCAUUACUGACACUGAGGAACGAAAGCAUGGGUAGCGAAGAGGAUUAGCUACCCUCGUAGUCCAUGCCGUAAACGAUGUGUGUUAGACGUUGGAAAUUUAUUUUCAGUGUCGCAGGGAAACCGAUAAACACACCGCCUGGGGAGUACGACCGCAAGGUUAAAACUCAAAUGAAU
rnacentral:rRNA from 1 species